rnacentral:rRNA from 1 species
AUACGUAGGGUGCAAGCGUUAAUCGGAAUUACUGGGCGUAAAGCGUGCGCAGGCGGUUUUGUAAGGCAGAGGUGAAAACCCCGGGCUCAACCUGGGAACUUCCUUUGUGACUGCAAGGCUAGAGGACGGCAGAGGGGGGUGGAAUUCCGGGGGGAGCAGUGAAAUGCGUAGAUAUGCGGAGGAACACCGAUGGCGAAGGCAAUCCCCUGGGCCUGUACUGACGCUCAUGCACGAAAGCGUGGGGAGCAAACAGGAUUAGAUACCCUGGUAGUCCACGCCCUAAACGAUGUCAACUGGUUGUUGGGUCUUCAUUGACUCAGUAACGAAGCUAACGCGUGAAGUUGACCGCCUGGGGAGUACGGCCGCAAGGUUGAAACUCAAAUGAAUUGACGGGG